rnacentral:rRNA from 1 species
GACGAACGCUGGCGGCGUGCUUAACACAUGCAAGUCGAACGGAAAGGCCCUGCUUUUGUGGGGUGCUCGAGUGGCGAACGGGUGAGUAACACGCGAGUAACCUUCCCUUGACUUUGGGAUAACUUCAGGAAACUGGGGCUUAUACCGGCUAGGAGCUCCUGCUGCAUGGUGGGGGUUGGAAAGUUUCGGCGGUUGGGGAUGGGCUCGCGGCUUAUCAGCUUGUUGGUGGGGUAGUGGCUUACCAAGGCUUUGACGGGUAGCCGGCCUGGGCGGGUGACCGGCCACAUUAGGACUGAGAUGCGGCACAGACUCCUACGGGAGGCAGCAGUGGGGAAUAGUGCACUAUGGACGGAAGCCUGAUGCAGCGAAGCAGCGUGCGGGAUAAGGGCCUUCGGGUUGUAAACCGCUUUCGCCUGAGACGAAGCGUGUGUGACGGUAAUGGGUAAAGAAGCACCGGCUAACUACGUG